rnacentral:tRNA from 1 species
GCCUUCGUGGUGUAGUGGUUAGCACGCUCAGCGCGUAUUCGAGAGGUCCGUGGUUCAAGUCCUGGCGAGUGCC